CAGUAGCCGCGGUAAUACGUAGGGGGCAAGCGUUGUCCGGAAUUAUUGGGCGUAAAGCGCGCGCAGGCGGUUUUUUAAGUCUGGUGUCUAAGUGCGGGGCUCAACCCCGUGACGCACUGGAAACUGGGAGACUUGAGUGCAGAAGAGGAGAGCUGAAUUCCACGUGUAGCGGUGAAAUGCGUAGAGAUGUGGAGGAACACCAGUGGCGAAGGCGACCACCUGGACUGAUACUGACACUGAGGUGCGAAAGCGUGGGGAGCAAACAGGAUUAGAUACCCGAGUAGUCCCUGUCUCUUAUACA
rnacentral:rRNA from 1 species